UACGUAGGGGGCAAGCGUUGUCCGGAUUUAUUGGGCGUAAAGAGCGUGUAGGCGGCCCGGUAAGUCCGCUGUAAAAGUCAAAGGCUCAACCUUUGAAUGUCAGUGGAUACUGCCGGGCUAGAGUCCGGAAGAGGCGAGUGGAACUCCUGGUGUAGCGGUGGAAUGCGCAGAUAUCAGGAAGAACACCAACGGCGAAGGCAGCUCGCUGGGACGGUACUGACGCUGAGACGCGAAAGCGUGGGGAGCGAACAGG
rnacentral:rRNA from 1 species